UACGUAGGUGGCAAGCGUUGUCCGGAUUUAUUGGGCGUAAAGAGCGCGUAGGCGGUCGUUCAAGUCGCGUGUGAAAGCCCCCGGCUCAACUGGGGAGGGUCACGCGAUACUGAUCGACUCGAAGGCAGGAGAGGGUAGUGGAAUUCCCGGUGUAGUGGUGAAAUGCGUAGAUAUAUGGAAGAACACCAAUAACGGCGAAGGCAGUUAACUAGUCUGUAACUGACAUUGAGGCACGAAAGCGUGGGGAGCAAAACGG
rnacentral:rRNA from 1 species